rnacentral:rRNA from 1 species
UACGGAGGGAGCUAGCGUUGUUCGGAAUUACUGGGCGUAAAGCGCGCGUAGGCGGCUUUGUAAGUUAGAGGUGAAAGCCCGGAGCUCAACUCCGGAACUGCCUUUAAAACUGCAUCGCUUGAAUCCAGGAGAGGUGAGUGGAAUUCCGAGUGUAGAGGUGAAAUUCGUAGAUAUUCGGAAGAACACCAGUGGCGAAGGCGGCUCACUGGACUGGUAUUGACGCUGAG